rnacentral:rRNA from 1 species
GCUUAGAAGCAGCCAUCAUUUAAAGAAAGCGUAAUAGCUCACUGGUCGAGUCGGCCUGCGCGGAAGAUGUAACGGGGCUAAACCAUGCACCGAAGCUGCGGCAGCGACGCUUAUGCGUUGUUGGGUAGGGGAGCGUUCUGUAAGCCUGUGAAGGUGUACUGUGAGGUAUGCUGGAGGUAUCAGAAGUGCGAAUGCUGACAUAAGUAACGAUAAAGCGGGUGAAAAGCCCGCUCGCCGGAAGACCAAGGGUUCCUGUCCAACGUUAAUCGGGGCAGGGUGAGUCGACCCCUAAGGCGAGGCCGAAAGGCGUAGUCGAUGGGAAACAGGUUAAUAUUCCUGUACUUGGUGUUACUGCGAAGGGGGGACGGAGAAGGCUAUGUUGGCCGGGCGACGGUUGUCCCGGUUUAAGCGUGUAGGCUGGUUUUCCAGGCAAAUCCGGAAAAUCAAGGCUGAGGCGUGAUGACGAGGCACUACGGUGCUGAAGCAACAAAUGCCCUGCUUCCAGGAAAAGCCUCUAAGCAUCAGGUAACAUCAAAUCGUACCCCAAACCGACACAGGUGGUCAGGUAGAGAAUACCAAGGCGCUUGAGAGAACUCGGGUGAAGGAACUAGGCAAAAUGGUGCCGUAACUUCGGGAGAAGGCACGCUGAUAUGUAGGUGAAGUCCCUCGCGGAUGGAGCUGAAAUCAGUCGAAGAUACCAGCUGGCUGCAACUGUUUAUUAAAAACACAGCACUGUGCAAACACGAAAGUGGACGUAUACGGUGUGACGCCUGCCCGGUGCCGGAAGGUUAAUUGAUGGGGUUAGCGGUAACGCGAAGCUCUUGAUCGAAGCCCCGGUAAACGGCGGCCGUAACUAUAACGGUCCUAAGGUAGCGAAAUUCCUUGUCGGGUAAGUUCCGACCUGCACGAAUGGCGUAAUGAUGGCCAGGCUGUCUCCACCCGAGACUCAGUGAAAUUGAACUCGCUGUGAAGAUGCAGUGUACCCGCGGCAAGACGGAAAGACCCCGUGAACCUUUACUAUAGCUUGACACUGAACAUUGAGCCUUGAUGUGUAGGAUAGGUGGGAGGCUUUGAAGUGUGGACGCCAGUCUGCAUGGAGCCGACCUUGAAAUACCACCCUUUAAUGUUUGAGUUCUAACGUUGGCCCCUGAUCGGGGUUGCGGACAGUGUCUGGUGGGUAGUUUGACUGGGGCGGUCUCCUCCUAAAGAGUAACGGAGGAGCACGAAGGUUGGCUAAUCCUGGUCGGACAUCAGGAGGUUAGUGCAAUGGCAUAAGCCAGCUUGACUGCGAGCGUGACGGCGCGAGCAGGUGCGAAAGCAGGUCAUAGUGAUCCGGUGGUUCUGAAUGGAAGGGCCAUCGCUCAACGGAUAAAAGGUACUCCGGGGAUAACAGGCUGAU